ACUCUUCCGUAAUAGACUAAGAGCUACUUAAAGGGGGUACAGCCCCUUUAACACAGGACACAACCUCCACCAGCGGAUAACCCCACCCCAUACCACACCCCGUAGGCCCUAAAGCAGCCACCCAUAAAGAGUGCGUCAAAGCUCAAACACAAAAAAAAUCCAAAAACAACACGACUCCCUACACCCCAACAGGCUAACCUAUCACUAUAGAUGAAUCAAUGCUAGAACGAGUAACCAGGAUAUCACAUCCCCUUAAGCGCCAGCCUACACACAAUUAACAGCACAGACCACAAUGCCUAACAUACACCCCCCCCAUUGAACACACCCCUGUUAACCCACCAGGGGCGCACAACUAGGACGAUCCAAAUCUGCAAAAGGAACUCGGCAAACCCAAGGCCCGACUGUUUACCAAAAACAUAGCCUUCAGCCAAACAAGUAUUGAAGGUGAUGCCUGCCCAGUGACACUCAGUUCAACGGCCGCGGUAUCCUAACCGUGCAAAGGUAGCGCAAUCAAUUGUCCCAUAAAUCGAGACUUGUAUGAAUGGCUAAACGAGGCCUUAACUGUCUCCUGCAGACAAUCAGUGAAACUGAUCUCCCCGUGCAAAAGCGAGGAUAUAUACACAAGACGAGAAGACCCUGUGGAACUUUAAAAUCAAUAGCCACCACAUAUCCUACCCCAAGCCUACUGGCUCAUAACCAAAAACACUGGCUAAUAUUUUUAGGUUGGGGCGACCUUGGAGAAAAACAAAUCCUCCAAAACCAAGGCCACAACCCUUAACCAAGAGCUACCCCUCAACGUACUAAUAGUGUCCAGACCCAAUAAAAUUGAUCAAUGAACCAAGCUACCCCAGGGAUAACAGCGCAAUCUCCCCCAAGAGCCCAUAUCGACAAGGGGGUUUACGACCUCGAUGUUGGAUCA
rnacentral:rRNA from 1 species